rnacentral:sRNA from 1 species
GAAACUAUCUAGAGAGUUAAGCUCAAGUUAAUUUCACAUGCAGAAGGGGGUCAGCUUUGGUGUACAACUACGAAGGCCAUCUCUGAGGGUGAAGAGCUAAUUGCCUUUGUGGUGGAUUUUGACUCAAGGCUACAAGCUGCCAGUCAGAUGACUCUCACAGAAGGGAUGUACCCUGCACGCCUGCUGGACUCAAUUCAGCUGCUUCCUCAGCAAGCUGCCAUGGCUUCUAUUUUGCCCACAGCUAUUGUCAAUAAAUGACACUUCAUAUGACACAAAAUCAGUCGUCUGGAGUCCCAAGAUCUGUGUUCUAGCCAUAUCUGAUUUUAUCUAGCUCUAUGAAAACACAUGAGUAGCAGACACAUCUUAAGAGGAGAAUAGAUUCUGAAGUUAGUAGAAAUAUCAGAUUCCACAUGUCUAACGUGAACAUGUGCCACUGUUUGCCUGGCUUAGUCCCAUUGUACAUUUUUAUCUGGCAUCCCUCUGGAUGGUGACUUCUUUCCUCUAUGAAAGUCCUGAGUUUGCACAAUACAAGAGGAUAUAUUCCCUUGCAAGUCCUGUGGCAUCUGGUAUCGGAGUGAGCGGAAUCUGCAGGCCCAUUUGAUGUACUACUGCAGUGGGAGGCAAAGAGAAGCUGCUCCGGUGUCAGAGGAAAAUGAAGACAGUGCCCAUCAGAUUUCCAGCCUGUGCCCCUUCCCACAGUGCACCAAGAGCUUUUCAAAUGCUCGAGCUCUAGAAAUGCACCUGAAUUCACACAGUGGAGUGAAAAUGGAAGAAUUCCUGCCCCCUGGUGCUAGUCUAAAAUGCACCGUCUGUAGCUACACUGCUGAUUCCGUGAUCAACUUUCACCAACACCUGUUCUCCCAUCUCACUCAAGCUGCCUUCCGAUGUAAUCACUGCCAUUUCGGCUUCCAGACUCAGAGGGAGUUAUUGCAGCACCAGGAGCUCCAUGUCCCUAGCAGCAAACUUCCCAGAGAAAGUGACAUGGAACACUCUCCAAGUGGAACCGAAGACAGCUUACAGCCAGCCACAGACUUAUUGACCAGAAGCGAACUUCCCCAGAGCCAAAAGGCCAUGCAGACUAAAGAUGCGAGCUCUGACACAGAGCUGGACAAGUGUGAGAAAAAGACUCAGCUCUUUCUCACGAACCAGAGACCGGAGAUACAGCCUACAACAAAUAAACAAAGCUUUUCUUACACAAAAAUAAAGUCUGAGCCCUCUAGUCCAAGACUUGCCUCAUCUCCAGUUCAGCCUAAUAUUGGGCCUUCUUUCCCUGUGGGCCCUUUCCUAUCUCAGUUUUCUUUCCCCCAAGAUAUCACCAUGGUCCCUCAAGCUUCAGAGAUCUUAGCUAAGAUGUCUGAACUGGUGCAUCGGCGACUGAGGCAUGGCAGUAGUAGCUACCCUCCCGUCAUUUACAGCCCUUUGAUGCCCAAGGGGGCUACUUGUUUUGAGUGUAACAUAACAUUCAAUAAUUUGGAUAAUUAUCUAGUGCACAAAAAGCAUUAUUGCAGCAGCCGAUGGCAGCAGAUGGCUAAGUCCCCAGAGUUCCCUAGUGUGUCAGAAAAGAUGCCUGAAGCUUUGAGUCCCAACACUGGCCAAACCUCCAUAAACCUUCUCAACCCAGCUGCUCAUUCUGCUGAUCCUGAGAAUCCACUUCUUCAAACAUCUUGCAUCAAUUCUUCCACUGUCUUAGAUUUAAUUGGGCCAAAUGGGAAGGGCCAUGACAAGGACUUUUCCACUCAAACUAAGAAGCUCUCCACCUCCAGUAACAAUGAUGAGAAAAUUAAUGGAAAACCUGUUGAUGUGAAAAAUCCCAGUGUCCCCUUAGUGGAUGGGGAAAGUGACCCAAAUAAGACUACCUGUGAAGCUUGCAACAUUACCUUCAGCCGGCACGAAACAUACAUGGUCCACAAGCAGUAUUACUGUGCUACACGCCACGACCCUCCACUGAAGAGGUCUGCUUCCAACAAAGUGCCUGCCAUGCAGAGAACCAUGCGCACACGCAAGCGCAGAAAGAUGUAUGAGAUGUGCCUACCUGAGCAGGAACAAAGGCCUCCACUGGUUCAGCAGAGAUUUCUUGACGUAGCCAACCUCAGUAAUCCUUGUACCUCCACUCAAGAACCCACAGAAGGGCUAGGAGAGUGCUACCACCCAAGAUGUGAUAUCUUUCCAGGAAUUGUCUCUAAACACUUGGAAACUUCUCUGACGAUCAACAAGUGUGUUCCAGUUUCCAAAUGUGACACUACUCAUUCCAGUGUUUCCUGCCUAGAGAUGGACGUGCCCAUAGAUCUCAGCAAAAAGUGUUUAUCUCAGUCUGAGCGGACGACCACGUCUCCCAAAAGGCUGCUGGACUAUCACGAGUGCACUGUGUGCAAGAUCAGUUUCAAUAAGGUAGAAAACUAUCUGGCCCACAAGCAGAAUUUCUGCCCGGUUACUGCACAUCAGCGUAAUGACCUGGGUCAACUGGACGGCAAAGUGUUUCCGAAUCCAGAAAGCGAACGAAACAGCCCUGAUGUCAGCUACGAAAGAAGCAUAAUAAAAUGUGAGAAAAAUGGGAAUUUGAAGCAGCCUUCCCCUAAUGGAAACUUAUUUUCAUCCCACCUAGCAACUCUGCAAGGCUUGAAGGUCUUUAGUGAAGCCGCUCAGCUCAUUGCUACAAAAGAAGAAAACAGACAUUUGUUUCUUCCACAAUGCCUUUACCCUGGAGCAAUAAAGAAAGCAAAAGGAGCCGACCAGCUUUCUCCAUAUUAUGGAAUCAAGCCAAGUGAUUAUAUUUCUGGUUCUCUUGUCAUCCAUAACACUGACAUCGAGCAAAGCAGAAAUGCAGAAAAUGAAUCUCCUAAAGGCCAGGCUUCCUCAAAUGGGUGUGCUGCGCUGAAGAAAGAUUCUCUGCCAUUGUUGCCCAAAAAUCGAGGAAUGGUAAUAGUGAAUGGUGGACUGAAACAAGAUGAGAGACCUGCUGCCAACCCACAGCAAGAGAACAUUUCCCAGAAUCCUCAGCAUGAAGACGACCACAAAUCUCCCUCGUGGAUCUCUGAGAACCCAUUAGCUGCCAAUGAGAAUGUCUCACCAGGAAUUCCCUCAGCAGAGGAACAGUUGUCUAGUAUAGCAAAAGGUGUGAAUGGUUCCAGCCAGGCUCCAACCAGUGGGAAAUAUUGCCGGCUGUGUGAUAUCCAGUUCAACAACCUUUCAAACUUUAUAACUCACAAGAAGUUUUAUUGCUCAUCACAUGCAGCAGAACAUGUCAAAUGAACUAACUAAACAUCAGUCACCUUUGGUAUCAGUGUUUAGUAUGUUGUUCUAACCAGUCCAGA